GCUGAACAGGCCACAGUCACAAAGCACAGAGACCUGCCUUCCCUCUGCUAAGUGCUGGAAGACUGGGUUAGAUUGGUUUUGGUGAAAUGCCUCUCAGCUUACGCACAGUGUCCUAUGUCCUUGUGUGACUGCUGCUCUGUGGGUGUGUGCACGUGUCCACAGAACACCUAUGAACACUAAUGUAGACUCCCUUAGACAUCAGCCAUGACCUCACUUUACUCCUCAGCCUCCUUACAAGGGGACUAGAAGAUUCUCAUCUUCAAAAUGAGAAUGAGGAAGGGAACUGGACUGGUCCACGAAGGCACAUGGGCCUGCCUCAGCUCUAGAAUCUAGUUCUUAUUCUGUGUCUUCAGUAUUUAUCAACCAGCCAAGCUUUAGGAUAGAAGACAGUUAUGAUGCAGUUAUGCAGUUAUGAUGUAUAUGCAAAAUUGUCAUUUCAAAUCCUUUUAUUUUUAUUAGAGCAUUAGUUUGGAUGAGUUCAAGUCCUUCUGCCAUUUUACAACACAUUUGGAAGACUUCGCUAUCGCCAUGCAGAUGUUCAGUUUAGCUCAUCGCCCUGUGAGGCUGGCGGAGUUCAAGAGAGCUGUGAAAGUGGCGACUGGACAAGAGCUUUCCAACAAUCUUCUGGACACUGUCUUCAAGAUCUUUGACCUGGACGGGGACGAAUGCCUC
rnacentral:lncRNA from 1 species